AUUGAACGCUGGCGGCAGGCCUAACACAUGCAAGUCGAACGAGUGGCGGACGGGUGAGUAAUGUCUGGGAAACUGCCCGAUGGAGGGGGAUAACUACUGGAAACGGUAGCUAAUACCGCAUACCAUCGGAUGUGCCCAGAUGGUAGUAGCUAGGAGGUGGGGUAACGGCUCACCGAGGCGACGAUCCAUAGCUGGUCUGAGAGGAUGACCGGCCACACUGGAACUGAGACACGGUCCAGACUCCUACGGGAGGCAGCAGUGGGGAAUAUUGCACAAUGGGCGAAAGCCUGAUGCAGCCAUGCCGGGUGUAUGAAGAAGGCCUUCGGGUUGUAAAGUACUUUCAGCGAGGAGGCGUUACUCGCAGAAGAAGCACCGGCUAACUCCGUGCCAGCAGCCGCGGUAAUUC
rnacentral:rRNA from 1 species